rnacentral:tmRNA from 1 species
ACCGGGGCUGAGAAAACGACAUCACAGACUGCACCCGGAGAAGACCAGGUUCGACGCUCGAGGACGCGGGUUCGAUUCCCGCCAGCUCCACUGACUGACUGACACGCGGGCGUGUUCCCGAAAGGAUGACGCGCUUGUUCCCGAAAGCCUCUUGAGAGAAGUGCCCGGAGCCCCGCAGGGGUUCCGGGCACUUAUUCGUUGCCGUUCAGGGCGCGGUUGUCCCUGCGUUGCCCGCGUUUCGCGAGCCGACGGCCCGGGCUGUGGGUGGGCGCCCGCGUGGGGGCAGCACUUCAGCCCUCAUGCCUGUGGCGCUGAGGGUGCGGGUGCGGUUGAUGCGGAGGUGGGCACAGAGUGGGCCAACCCGUAGACGAGCUCCUGGUCCCAUGGCAGGGUGCCGAGGUGACCGAAGCUGCCUGGCUUUCCCUAGAAGCGACCCUGAUGACAACGCACGCCAUCGAGGCCUACGGCGGCGUGCAACUUGGACGCCAGGCGCUGGAGACGGCGGCCGCGUCCCUCAGUGGUGGGCAGAUCCCCAUGCAGGUGGAGCAUGAUCAGACACGACCGCUUCGGGUCCGGGAUCUUGUGGCUUGGGUGGAAGACGGUGACGACGGCUUCUCGCGGCUGAAGGUACGAUACGACGUG